GAUGAACGCUGGCGGCGUGCUUAACACAUGCAAGUCGAACGGUGAAGGCGGAGCUUGCUCUGCUGGAUCAGUGGCGAACGGGUGAGUAACACGUGAGCAAUCUGCCCCUGACUCUGGGAUAAGCGCUGGAAACGGCGUCUAAUACUGGAUACGAGCUGCGAAGGCAUCUUCAGCAGCUGGAAAGAAUUUCGGUCAGGGAUGAGCUCGCGGCCUAUCAGCUUGUUGGUGAGGUAAUGGCUCACCAAGGCGUCGACGGGUAGCCGGCCUGAGAGGGUGGCCGGCCACACUGGGACUGAGACACGGCCCAGACUCCUACGGGAGGCAGCAGUGGGGAAUAUUGCACAAUGGGCGAAAGCCUGAUGCAGCAACGCCGCGUGAGGGACGACGGCCUUCGGGUUGUAAACCUCUUUUAGCAGGGAAGAAGCGAAAGUGACGGUACCUGCAGAAAAAGCGCCGGCUAGCUACGUG
rnacentral:rRNA from 1 species